GGUAUCCCUAGGUUUGGAAGUAUAAAUCCCAUGGGAAGUCAGCUGAAGAACAUUUUAUGCUUCACUUAUCCUAUUAUGAUCCCUGUACUGUUCCUUCUCUCUACAAGG
rfam:Choloepus hoffmanni cont1.62017, whole genome shotgun sequence.